rnacentral:rRNA from 1 species
AGCGUACACGGUGGAUGCCCUGGCAGUCAGAGGCGAUGAAGGACGUGCUAAUCUGCGAUAAGCGUCGGUGAGGUGAUAUGAACCGUUAUAACCGGCGAUUUCCGAAUGGGGAAACCCAGUGUGAUUCGUCACACUAUCAUUAACUGAAUCCAUAGGUUAAUGAGGCGAACCGGGGGAACUGAAACAUCUAAGUACCCCGAGGAAAAGAAAUCAACCGAGAUUCCCCCAGUAGCGGCGAGCGAACGGGGAGGAGCCCAGAGCCUGAAUCAGUGUGUGUGUUAGUGGAAGCGUCUGGAAAGGCGCGCGAUACAGGGUGACAGCCCCGUACACAAAAAUGCACAUACUGUGAGCUCGAUGAGUAGGGCGGGACACGUGGUAUCCUGUCUGAAUAUGGGGGGACCAUCCUCCAAGGCUAAAUACUCCUGACUGACCGAUAGUGAACCAGUACCGUGAGGGAAAGGCGAAAAGAACCCCGGCGAGGGGAGUGAAAAAGAACCUGAAACCGUGUACGUACAAGCAGUGGGAGCCUCUUAAUGGGGUGACUGCGUACCUUUUGUAUAAUGGGUCAGCGACUUAUAUUCUGUAGCAAGGUUAACCGAAUAGGGGAGCCGAAGGGAAACCGAGUCUUAACUGGGCGUUAAGUUGCAGGGUAUAGACCCGAAACCCGGUGAUCUAGCCAUGGGCAGGUUGAAGGUUGGGUAACACUAACUGGAGGACCGAACCGACUAAUGUUGAAAAAUUAGCGGAUGACUUGUGGCUGGGGGUGAAAGGCCAAUCAAACCGGGAGAUAGCUGGUUCUCCCCGAAAGCUAUUUAGGUAGCGCCUCGUGAAUUCAUCUCCGGGGGUAGAGCACUGUUUCGGCAAGGGGGUCAUCCCGACUUACCAACCCGAUGCAAACUGCGAAUACCGGAGAAUGUUAUCACGGGAGACACACGGCGGGUGCUAACGUCCGUCGUGAAGAGGGAAACAACCCAGACCGCCAGCUAAGGUCCCAAAGUCAUGGUUAAGUGGGAAACGAUGUGGGAAGGCCCAGACAGCCAGGAUGUUGGCUUAGAAGCAGCCAUCAUUUAAAGAAAGCGUAAUAGCUCACUGGUCGAGUCGGCCUGCGCGGAAGAUGUAACGGGGCUAAACCAUGCACCGAAGCUGCGGCAGCGACACUAUGUGUUGUUGGGUAGGGGAGCGUUCUGUAAGCCUGUGAAGGUGGCCUGUGAGGGUUGCUGGAGGUAUCAGAAGUGCGAAUGCUGACAUAAGUAACGAUAAAGCGGGUGAAAAGCCCGCUCGCCGGAAGACCAAGGGUUCCUGUCCAACGUUAAUCGGGGCAGGGUGAGUCGACCCCUAAGGCGAGGCCGAAAGGCGUAGUCGAUGGGAAACAGGUUAAUAUUCCUGUACUUGGUGUUACUGCGAAGGGGGGACGGAGAAGGCUAUGUUGGCCGGGCGACGGUUGUCCCGGUUUAAGCGUGUAGGCUGGUUUUCCAGGCAAAUCCGGAAAACCAAGGCUGAGGCGUGAUGACGAGGCACUACGGUGCUGAAGCGACAAAUGCCCUGCUUCCAGGAAAAGCCUCUAAGCAUCAGGUAACAUCAAAUCGUACCCCAAACCGACACAGGUGGUCAGGUAGAGAAUACCAAGGCGCUUGAGAGAACUCGGGUGAAGGAACUAGGCAAAAUGGUGCCGUAACUUCGGGAGAAGGCACGCUGAUAUGUAGGUGAAGCGACUUGCUCGUGGAGCUGAAAUCAGUCGAAGAUACCAGCUGGCUGCAACUGUUUAUUAAAAACACAGCACUGUGCAAACACGAAAGUGGACGUAUACGGUGUGACGCCUGCCCGGUGCCGGAAGGUUAAUUGAUGGGGUUAGCGGUAACGCGAAGCUCUUGAUCGAAGCCCCGGUAAACGGCGGCCGUAACUAUAACGGUCCUAAGGUAGCGAAAUUCCUUGUCGGGUAAGUUCCGACCUGCACGAAUGGCGUAAUGAUGGCCAGGCUGUCUCCACCCGAGACUCAGUGAAAUUGAACUCGCUGUGAAGAUGCAGUGUACCCGCGGCAAGACGGAAAGACCCCGUGAACCUUUACUAUAGCUUGACACUGAACAUUGAGCCUUGAUGUGUAGGAUAGGUGGGAGGCUUUGAAGUGUGGACGCCAGUCUGCAUGGAGCCGACCUUGAAAUACCACCCUUUAAUGUUUGAUGUUCUAACGUUGGCCCGUAAUCCGGGUUGCGGACAGUGUCUGGUGGGUAGUUUGACUGGGGCGGUCUCCUCCUAAAGAGUAACGGAGGAGCACGAAGGUUGGCUAAUCCUGGUCGGACAUCAGGAGGUUAGUGCAAUGGCAUAAGCCAGCUUGACUGCGAGCGUGACGGCGCGAGCAGGUGCGAAAGCAGGUCAUAGUGAUCCGGUGGUUCUGAAUGGAAGGGCCAUCGCUCAACGGAUAAAAGGUACUCCGGGGAUAACAGGCUGAUACCGCCCAAGAGUUCAUAUCGACGGCGGUGUUUGGCACCUCGAUGUCGGCUCAUCACAUCCUGGGGCUGAAGUAGGUCCCAAGGGUAUGGCUGUUCGCCAUUUAAAGUGGUACGCGAGCUGGGUUUAGAACGUCGUGAGACAGUUCGGUCCCUAUCUGCCGUGGGCGCUGGAGAACUGAGGGGGGCUGCUCCUAGUACGAGAGGACCGGAGUGGACGCAUCACUGGUGUUCGGGUUGUCAUGCCAAUGGCACUGCCCGGUAGCUAAAUGCGGAAGAGAUAAGUGCUGAAAGCAUCUAAGCACGAAACUUGCCCCGAGAUGAGUUCU